CAAGUCGGGGGAAACCCUGAUGCAGCCAUGCCGCGUGUGUGAAGAAGGCCUUCGGGUUGUAAAGCACUUUCAGUAGGGAGGAAGGUAGUGUAGUUAACACCUGCAUUAUUUGACGUUACCUACAGAAGAAGCACCGGCUAACUCCGUGCCAGCAGCCGCGGUAAUACGGAGGGUGCGAGCGUUAAUCGGAAUUACUGGGCGUAAAGCGCAUGCAGGCGGCCUGUUAAGUCAGAUGUGAAAGCCCCGGGGCUUAACCUCGGAAUUGCAUUUGAAACUGGCAGGCUAGAGUCUUGUAGAGGGGGUAGAAUUUCAGGUGUAGCGGUGAAAUGCGUAGAGAUCUGAAGGAAUACCAGUGGCGAAGGCGGCCCCCUGGACAAAGACUGACGCUCAGAUGCGAAAGCGUGGGGAGCAAACAGGAUUAGAUACCCCUUGGAG
rnacentral:rRNA from 1 species